ACACAUGCAAGUCGAGGGGCAGCAUGGUCUUAGCUUGCUAAGGCCGAUGGCGACCGGCGCACGGGUGAGUAACACGUAUCCAACCUGCCGUCUACUCUUGGACAGCCUUCUGAAAGGAAGAUUAAUACAAGAUGGCAUCAUGAGUCCGCAUGUUCACAUGAUUAAAGGUAUUCCGGUAGACGAUGGGGAUGCGUUCCAUUAGAUAGUAGGCGGGGUAACGGCCCACCUAGUCUUCGAUGGAUAGGGGUUCUGAGAGGAAGGUCCCCCACAUUGGAACUGAGACACGGUCCAAACUCCUACGGGAGGCAGCAGUGAGGAAUAUUGGUCAAUGGGCGAGAGCCUGAACCAGCCAAGUAGCGUGAAGGAUGACUGCCCUAUGGGUUGUAAACUUCUUUUAUAAAGGAAUAAAGUCGGGUAUGGAUACCCGUUUGCAUGUACUUUAUGAAUAAGGAUCGGCUAACUCCGUGCCAGCAGCCGCGGUAAUACGGAGGAUCCGAGCGUUAUCCGGAUUUAUUGGGUUUAAAGGGAGCGUAGAUGGAUGUUUAAGUCAGUUGUGAAAGUUUGCGGCUCAACCGUAAAAUUGCAGUUGAUACUGGAUAUCUUGAGUGCAGUUGAGGCAGGCGGAAUUCGUGGUGUAGCGGUGAAAUGCUUCGACAUCACGAAGAACUCCGAUUGCGAAGGCAGCCUGCUAAGCUGCAACUGACAUUGAGGC
rnacentral:rRNA from 1 species